UAAAGACACAUUUUUGAUCUAAAUGAGAGGACUACUGCCGCUGGCGGAGGAACUCUGUGAACCUGCAGCGGUGAUCCAACGGAGGCGGAGUGAUACGUUAACUUACAGUCUGAAACACCGGCUAGGACCGUUACGGUUACGGAGGGCAUUUUAUUUCUGCUGCAAGACAGUAACUGAGGUGUGAACGAGCAUGUCCAGUUCAUGAAGUGGAAAUCAGCCUUCGUGAUUCAUCUCGGGUGUUUCCAGCUUGCCAGAAGAGACCCUGCAGUGACUGUGGUUGUCGAGCCUGACAAUCUGAAUGACUACACCCCUCUUGCUGCAUACCUUGUGGAAGGAAAGCUGCUUGUC